AUUGAACGCUGGCGGCAGGCCUAACACAUGCAAGUCGAGCGAGCGGCGGAGGGGUGAGUAAUGUAUGGGGGCUGCCCGAUAGAGGGGGAUAACUACUGGAAACGGUGGCUAAUACCGCAUACUAUCGGAUAACCCAUAUGGGAUUAGCUAGUAGGUGGGGUAAAGGCUCACCUGGGCGCCGAUCUCUAGCUGGUCUGAGAGGAUGAUCAGCCACAUGGGGACGGGGAAACGGCCCAGACUCCUACGGAGGCAGCAGUGGGGAAUAUUGGACAAUGGGCGAAAGCCUGACGCAGACAUGCCGGGUGUAUGAAGAAGGCCUUAGGGUUGUAAAGUACUUUCAGAGGGGAGGCGUUACCUGCAGAAGAAGCACCGGCUAACUCCGUGCCAGCAGCCGCGGUAAUUC
rnacentral:rRNA from 1 species